CGGCAACAGCUCAAAUUUGAAAUCUGGCCCCCGGGUCCGAGUUGUAAUUUGUAGAGGAUGCUUUUGGCGCGGUGCCUUCCGAGUUCCCUGGAACGGGACGCCAUAGAGGGCGAGAGCCCCGUCUGGUCGGACACCAAGCCUCUAUAAAGCUCCUUCGAC
rnacentral:rRNA from 1 species